rnacentral:rRNA from 1 species
GAGGAAUAUUGGUCAAUGGGCGAGAGCCUGAACCAGCCAAGUAGCGUGAGGGAUGACUGCCCUAUGGGUUGUAAACCUCUUUUAUAAGGGAAUAAAACGCUCCACGUGUGGAGCAUUGCAUGUACCUUUUGAAUAAGGAUCGGCUAACUCCGUGCCAGCAGCCGCGGUAAUACGGAGGAUCCGAGCGUUAUCCGGAUUUAUUGGGUUUAAAGGGUGCGUAGGCGGACUGAUAAGUCAGCUGUGAAAGUUUGCGGCUCAACCGUAAAAUUGCAGUUGAAACUGUUAGUCUUGAGUGUACAUAAGGUAGGCGGAAUUCGUGGUGUAGCGGUGAAAUGCUUAGAUAUCACGAAGAACUCCAAUUGCGAAGGCAGCUUACCGGGGUACAACUGACGCUGAGGCACGAAAGCGUGGGUAUCAAAC